rnacentral:rRNA from 1 species
UACGGAGGGUGCAAGCGUUGUCCGGAAUCACUGGGCGUAAAGGGCGCGUAGGCGGCUCAUGAAGGCUGUGGUGAAAGUCCGGGGCUCAACUCCGGAUCUGCGGUGGGUACGGGCAGACUAGAGUGAUGUAGGGGAGACUGGAAUUCCUGGUGUAGCGGUGAAAUGCGUAGAGAUCAGGAAGAACAUCGGUGGCGAAGGCGCUCUGCUGGACCAUAACUGACACUCAGGGACGAAAGCUAGGGGAGCGAAUGGG